GCCUUUGAGGAAAUCACCCUGAAAGUGACAGAUCUCAUCAGAUCUUGGGAGCUAAUCAGGCUUGAGCCUGGUUAGUAUUUAGAUGGGUGACCCCAUCAGUGCUUACUAGGUGUUGUCGGUG
rnacentral:rRNA from 1 species